AGAGUUUGAUCCUGGCUCAGGAUGAACGCUGGCGGUCUGCUUAACACAUGCAAGUCGAACGCAAGUAGCAAUACUUGAGUGGCGGACGGGUGAGUAACGCGUGAGAAUCUGCCUUUUGGUCGGGGACAACCACUGGAAACGGUGGCUAAUACCGGAUAUGCCUAACGGUGAAAGAUUAAUUGCCAGAAGAGGAGCUCGCGUCUGAUUAGCUAGUUGGUGAGGUAAGAGCUCACCAAGGCAUCGAUCAGUAGCUGGUCUGAGAGGAUGAUCAGCCACACUGGGACUGAGACACGGCCCAGACUCCUACGGGAGGCAGCAGUGGGGAAUUUUCCGCAAUGGGCGAAAGCCUGACGGAGCAAGACCGCGUGAGGGAGGAAGGCUCUUGGGUUGUAAACCUCUUUUGUCAGGGAAGAACACAAUGACGGUACCUGAAGAAUCAGCAUCGGCUAACUCCGUGCCAGCAGCCGCGGUAAUACGGGGGAUGCAAGCGUUAUCCGGAAUUAUUGGGCGUAAAGCGUCCGCAGGUGGCUAAUCAAGUCUGCUGUCAAAGAUUGGGGCUUAACCCCAAAAAGGCAGUGGAAACUGAGAAGCUAGAGUGCAGUAGGGGUAGAGGGAAUUCCCGGUGUAGCGGUGAAAUGCGUAGAGAUCGGGAAGAACAUCGGUGGCGAAAGCGCUCUACUGGACUGCAACUGACACUCAGGGACGAAAGCUAGGGGAGCGAAUGGGAUUAGAUACCCCAGUAGUCC
rnacentral:rRNA from 1 species